rnacentral:lncRNA from 1 species
UGGUGCAAGUCUUUGUCAGGCAGCUCUGCAAAGAAGUGAUUGGCUUUGACUAUGCAUCUCAUACCAUUGCUCCCCUUCCCUGGACGCAGGGGAAACCGUAGUGAUUUGCUUGAUGCAGGUGGAACUGCUUGCGUUGGAGCCGCUUCUUGCUGCAAAGCAAGUUGCUGGAACUGUUGUGUCACUUGUAGAGCUGCCUGCUCAGGUGGCUGAGAUGAGGAACCAGCUUCAGAGGAUGUUUCAGUUGGUCUUACAUAAGGUAUAGGCUGAGUAGUCAUUGCAGCUUGAUAUGGAGUCUGGGAG